rnacentral:tRNA from 1 species
GGGGCUGUAGCUUAGUGGUAGAGUGCUUGCCUAGAACACAUGAAGCACUGGGUUUGAUCCUCAGCAGCACUA